GACGAACGCUGGCGGCGUGCUUAACACAUGCAAGUCGAACGGUGAAGGGGUCUGCUUUUGUGGGCCCUGGAUGAGUGGCGAACGGGUGAGUAACACGUGAGUAACCUGCCCCCUUCUUCUGGAUAACCGCAUGAAAGUGUGGCUAAUACGGGAUAUUCUGGGUCUGUCGCAUGAUGGGUCUGGGAAAGAUUGCGCCUUUGGGUGUUUUUGGUGGGGGAUGGGCUCGCGGCCUAUCAGCUUGUGGGUGGGGUGAUGGCCUACCAAGGCGGUGACGGGUAGCUGGGAGGAGAGGGUGGAAGGUCAGACUGGGACUGAGACACGGCCCAGAAUGCUACGGGACGCAGCAGUGGGGAAGACUGCACGAGGGGCGCAAGCCUGAUGCAGCGACGCCGCGUGAGGGAGGGAGGCGGUCGGGGUGUAAACCUCUUGCGCCAGUGAAGCAGGCCUGCUCCUUGUGGGUGGGUUGACGGUAGCUGGAGAAGAAGCGCCGGCUAACUACGUG
rnacentral:rRNA from 1 species